AUGUCCGGGGCUGCACGCGCGCUACACUGACUGGCUCAGCGUGUGCCUACCCUACGCCGGCAGGCGCGGGUAACCCGUUGAACCCCAUUCGUGAUGGGGAUCGGGGAUUGCAAUUAUUCCCCAUGAACGAGGAAUUCCCAGUAAGUGCGGGUCAUAAGCUUGCGUUGAUUAAGUCCCUGCCCUUUGUACACACCGCCCGUCGCUACUACCGAUUGGAUGGUUUAGUGAGGCCCUCGGAUCGGCCCCGCCGGGGUCGGCCCACGGCCUGGCGGAGGCUGAGAAGACGGUCGAACUUGACUAUCUAGAGGAAGUAAAAGUCGUAACAAGGUUUCCGUAGGUGAACCUGCGGAAGGAUCAUUAA
rnacentral:rRNA from 1 species